GACUACAGCCAUGCCACAUUAAACGAGCCCAAUCCUGUCUGAUCUCGGAAGCUAAGCAGGGGCGGGCCUGGUUAGUACUUGGAUGGGAGACCAUCUACGAAGACCAGGUGUUGUAGGUG
ensembl:rRNA 5S_rRNA 5S ribosomal RNA